UCCCCGUUACCGAGGCAGUCUGGCUAGAAAAAUACAACUAACCAUAAGGGUUGCGCUCGUUGAUGGACUUAACCAAACAUCUCACGACACGAGCUGACGACGGCCAUGCAACACCUGUCACUUGGCUCAAUAAAGCACUCUCUGCUUUCGCAGAAAUUCCAAGGAUGUCAAACCCUGGUAAGGUUCUAGGCUUAUCAUCCGAUUAAACAACACGCUCCACCGCUUGUGCGGGUCCCCGUCAAUUCCUUUGAGUUUUAAUCUUGCGACCGUACUCCCCAGGCGGGAUGCUUAACGCGUUAACUUCGCUACUAACCGGGUCGAUACGGCUAACAGCUAGCAUCCAUAGUUUACGGCGUGGACUAC
rnacentral:misc_RNA from 1 species